rnacentral:rRNA from 1 species
AUUGAACGCUGGCGGCAGGCCUAACACAUGCAAGUCGAACGAGUGGCGGACGGGUGAGUAAUGUCUGGGAAACUGCCUGAUGGAGGGGGAUAACUACUGGAAACGGUAGCUAAUACCGCAUACCAUCGGAUGUACCCAGAUGGGAUUAGCUAGUAGGUGGGGUAACGGCUCACCUAGGCGACGAUCCCUAGCUGGUCUGAGAGGAUGACCGGCGACACUGGAACUGAGAGACGGUCCAGACUCCUACGGUAGGCAGCAGUGGGGAAGAUUGCACAAUGGGCGCCAGCCUGAUGCAGACAUGCCGGGUGUAUGAAGAAGGCAUGAGGGUUGUAAAGUACUUUCAGCGGGGAGGCGUUACCCGCAGAAGAAGCACCGGCUAACUCCGUGCCAGCAGCCGCGGUAAUAC